rnacentral:lncRNA from 1 species
GAACCCCACAAAGUGCUGAGUAACGGUGACCGGGAAGUAUCUCGGGACUGAUUGGGCCUGGCCACCUUAUACAGCAUUUACAAUGGCACAGCACGCACACUUGUGUGAGAUUCUUCUAACAGAGGCAGACUCCUGGAACAGAAGUCGGAGUUUGCAUUGAUCCAGGAAUGCCUGUUGCAGGUUAUGUCUGGCAAUUUCUGGUAAUGAUGCAGAAGUAGGCUUGGAAACCAAGCAGAAGACAGGAAGGUAUUUAGCAGCCUGGAAGAUGCCUGAUAAACCCA